UGUAGAGACAGGAGGUUGUAGAGACAGGUGGUUGUAGAGACAGGUGGUUGUAGAGACAGGAGGUUGUAGAGACAGGAGGUUGUAGAGACAGGACGUUGUAGAGACAGGAGGUUGUAGAGACAGGAGAGACAGGAGGUGUAGAGACAGGACGGUUGUAGAGACAGGAGGUUGUAGAGACAGGAGGUUGUAGAGACAGGAGGUUGUAGAGACAGGAGUUGUAGAGACAGGUGGUUGUAGAGACAGGUGGUUGUAGAGACAAGAGUUGUAGAGACAGGAGGUUGUAGAGACAGGAGGUUAUGGGUAUAUGUACUUUUUUUUUUAAAUUUUUUUUUUUAACCUUUAUUUAACUAGGCACGUCAGUUAAGAACAAAUUCUUAUUUUCAAUGACGGCCUAGGAACAGUGGGUUAACUGCCUGUUCAGGGGCAGAACGACAGAUCUGUACCUUGUCAACUCGGGGGUUUGAACUUGCAACCUUCUGGUUACUAGUCCAACGCUCUAACCACUAGGCUACGCUGCCGCCCCGUGUCCUGGCCCCGUGUCCUACAUGUGCGUGUCCUGGCACAACCAACUGUCUGAGCUGGUACUCUAGUCUACACAACCAACUGUCUGAGCUGGUACUCUAGUCUACACAACCAACUGUCUGAGCUGGUACUCUAGUCUACACAACCAACUGUCUGAGCUGGUAAUCUAGUCUACACAACCAACUGUCUG
ensembl:lncRNA